UACGGAGGGUGCGAGCGUUGUCCGGAAUCACUGGGCGUAAAGGGCGCGUAGGCGGCGCGGGUAGUCAUCGGUGAAAGUUCAGGGCUCAACUCUGAAUCGGCCGGUGAUACUCCCGUGCUCGAGCACUGUAGAGGCAGGUGGAAUUCCGGGUGUAGCGGUGAAAUGCGCAGAUAUCAGGAAGAACACCCGUGGCUAAGGCGGCUCUCUAGUACGGUACUGACGCUGAGACGCGAAAGCGUGGGGAGCGAACAGG
rnacentral:rRNA from 1 species